rnacentral:lncRNA from 1 species
AUUCCUGUGAUUUCAUAUACCAAAUUGAACUUCGUAACUUACAUGCAUACUGUCAGUCAUUCUAACAAGGUUGACUUAGCACUCAGUCAAUUUCCAUCCAUUAGGCCCAUGUUUGAAGCACACAUAGAUUGGAAUACAAAUGUGCCGAGAUAAGGAUCUUUUCUGAAUCUCGGAAUUUUGGUGGCGCACCCUGCAGCAGCACGUUUGUUGUUAUGGCUGUUUUUGCUUUGGUUUAGAAGGAAACCCAGCUAAGAAAUAGAGUUUCAGAGACAUGAAGAGUGAAGUGACCUGCCAUGUAUGUACCAGAUCUCCUUUAUGAAAGUCAAAUGCCUUAUUAAAUUCAUCACCCAUAUGAUAAAGCAUCAGGAAAUUUAUCUCAACAUGUGAAGUAAUGCUGUCGGUUGCUGUGAAUUCCAUUUUUACGGUUUUUUCAUCAUAAACAUUUCAGUGUGCUUCUUAGAAAAGAGCACGCAGUUUCUUUAUGGAAUCGUGUGGUCCUGGCACGGAGAUUCUUGAGCCAACGCUGACCUUUGUCCAUGACGGAAGAGGGACUUCCACCAACGUUCUUCUCCAUCCUUAUCUUCGCGACCCUCAUCUAGCUUCAAUAACAAAACUAAACACAAUUUGUUUUACUUCAC